rnacentral:rRNA from 1 species
UAUUAAUUCCCUCACCAUCUAAAAACCCUUAAGUAUUACUGAGUAAUUCUAUAUAACUAUAGAAGAUUUUAUGUUAAAACUAGUAACAAGAAGAAGUACUUCUAUUAUAAUGCAAGUGUAAAUCAGACAGGACACACCGCUGAUAAUUAACACAUAAAAGUAGUAACUCAACAAGAAAACCCUACUAAAUACUUUAUGUUAAUCUAACACAAGAGCAUUCCAAAAAGAUUUAAAGAAAGAGAAGGAACUCGGCAAAUCAUAACCUCGCCUGUUUACCAAAAACAUCGCCUCUUGAAUAAAUAUAAGAGGUCCAGCCUGCCCAGUGACUCUGUUCAACGGCCGCGGUAUCCUAACCGUGCGAAGGUAGCGUAAUCACUUGUUCUUUAAAUGAGGACUAGUAUGAAUGGCACCACGAGGGUUAUACUGUCUCCCCUUUCUAAUCAGUGAAACUAAUCUCCCCGUGAAGAAGCGGGAAUAAAUAUAUAAGACGAGAAGACCCUAUGGAGCUUUAAACCAUGCGACACUUGCACCAACCCAUGCAAAUUUCAGAAAAAUCUCCCCACCCAUGCAAGAUGAUCACCAGUUUUAGGUUGGGGUGACCGCGGAGCAAAAAAUAACCUCCACAUUGAAAGGAGCCCUACUCCUUAGCUUAGAGCCACACCUCCAUGCACCAAUACAAUGACAUUAAUUGACCCAAUAUUUUGAUCAACGAACCAAGUUACCCUAGGGAUAACAGCGCAAUCCACUUCAAGAGCUCCUAUCGACAAGUGGGUUUACGACCUCGAUGUUGGAUCAGGGUAUCCUGGUGGUGCAGCCGCUACCAAAGGUUCGUUUGUU